AAGACCCCGUGAACCUUUACUAUAGCUUGACACUGAACAUUGAGCCUUGAUGUGUAGGAUAGGUGGGAGGCUUUGAAGUGUGGACGCCAGUCUGCAUGGAGCCGACCUUGAAAUACCACCCUUUAAUGUUUGAUGUUCUAACGUUGACCCGUGAUCCGGGUUGCGGACAGUGUCUGGUGGGUAGUUUGACUGGGGCGGUCUCCUCCUAAAGAGUAACGGAGGAGCACGAAGGUUGGCUAAUCCUGGUCGGACAUCAGGAGGUUAGUGCAAUGGCAUAAGCCAGCUUGACUGCGAGCGUGACGGCGCGAGCAGGUGCGAAAGCAGGUCAUAGUGAUCCGGUGGUUCUGAAUGGAAGGGCCAUCGCUCAACGGAUAAAAGGUACUCCGGGGAUAACAGGCUGAUACCGCCCAAGAGUUCAUAUCGACGGCGGUGUUUGGCACCUCGAUGUCGGCUCAUCACAUCCUGGGGCUGAAGUAGGUCCCAAGGGUAUGGCUGUUCGCCAUUUAAAGUGGUACGCGAGCUGGGUUUAGAACGUCGUGAGACAGUUCGGUCCCUAUCUGCCGUGGGCGCUGGAGAACUGAGGGGGGCUGCUCCUAGUACGAGAGGACCGGAGUGGACGCAUCACUGGUGUUCGGGUUGUCAUGCCAAUGGCACUGCCCGGUAGCUAAAUGCGGAAGAGAUAAGUGCUGAAAGCAUCUAAGCACGAAACUUGCCCCGAGAUGAGUUCUCCCUGACUCCUUGAGAGUCCUGAAGGAACGUUGAAGACGACGACGUUGAUAGGCCGGGUGUGUAAGCGCAGCGAUGCGUUGAGCUAACCGGUACUAAUGAACCGUGAGGCUUAACCUUACAAC
rnacentral:rRNA from 1 species